GCGUUUACUAUAAGGACCUGGUUGUGGGAGUUACCAAAGAGAUGCAGAGGUGAGAAGUGGGUUGCAGACUCUCUUACGGGUGUCCAGUCCUUAAUACAACAAGAAAUAAAAGUGUACAAAUCAGUAGUGCUGGCAUCUAAUUCUUUGGGCAGGGAUUUUACUGGUCAGAUAACGGCAGCAGGACAAGUUUCUCCUGUGAAGAUGCUGAUAAUUGGUGGUGGCGUUGCUGGACUGGCUGCAGCAGGAGCUGCCAAAGCAAUGGGAGUUGCUGUCAGGGGAUUUGAUACCAGAUAAAGUAAGAAAAUAUGGCUUAGAAUCUAGAACACUGCUUAACACUUUAUAAAAUAUUCUGGUCAAAGUUCUG